AUUGAACGCUGGCGGAAUGCUUUACACAUGCAAGUCGAACGGCAGCACGGGAGCUUGCUCCUGGUGGCGAGUGGCGAACGGGUGAGUAACAUAUCGGAACGUACCCAGUCGUGGGGGAUAACUAUCCGAAAGGAUAGCUAGUACCGCAUACGCCCUGAGGGAGAAAGCGGGGGAUCGCAAGACCUCGCGCGAUUGGAGCGGCCGAUAUCGGAUUAGCUAGUUGGUGGGGUAAAGGCUCACCAAGGCGACGAUCCGUAGCGGGUCUGAGAGGACGACCCGCCACACUGGAACUGAGACACGGUCCAGACUCCUACGGGAGGCAGCAGUGGGGAAUUUUGGACAAUGGGGGCAACCCUGAUCCAGCCAUUCCGCGUGAGUGAAGAAGGCCUUCGGGUUGUAAAGCUCUUUCAGCAGGAACGAAACGGUCGGCUUUAAUAAAGUCGGCUAAUGACGGUACCUGCAGAAGAAGCACCGGCUAACUACGUG
rnacentral:rRNA from 1 species